rnacentral:lncRNA from 1 species
CUAUAACAAAUACAAAUGAUAAUUUAAUUUUACCUUCUAAUUCUCAAAUAGAAGAAGAAGAAGAUAAUAUUAGUACAAAUUCAACAACACUGAUAGGUAUGAAAACAGUUCAAAUACCUAUUUUCCCUACUGAACCUAGCAGAAAUUCUAGAAAUACUAGAAUGGAAGAAAUACAAUCUACUACUAUUAUUCAACAAAUGAAAAUAGGAAAAAAUGAUAUUAUUACAUUUUCAAAUUUCCAACCUAGGAAAUAUUAUACAUAUAUAGAAAUUACACUUCAAUUUAGAGACUAUAAAACAUAUUCUUUGCAUGCUUUAUUAGAUACUGGAGCUACCACAAGUAGUUGUAGAGAAAAUGUCAUUCCUGUAGAAAAAUGGGAAUUAAUGAAAAAUCCAAUUAGAGCUAUAGGAAUUGAUGGUAAAGAAACCAUAAUUCAAUUUAAGGCUAGAAAUAUACCAAUUUACAUAAAUAAUGUAAGAUUUGUAAUUCCUAAAAUAUUGUGUUUUCCUGAAAUGCAUGGAGACAUAUUAUUAGGAAAUAAUUUUAUAUAUCAUCAUCUACCGUUUUCUAUAGAUAGAAAUUUAGUAAUAUUAUCAACAGAAAAAACUUCUGUAGAAAUACCUUUAAUAGAAAACCAUAAAUUUGUAUGUGAUAAAGGAUUUAGACCAAUAAGAAAAGAACAAAUUAAACAACUAGAAACAAAUCAUUGGUUGUUUAAAAUUCUAGAAAAUAAUUUUAGUGAAGAACCAUUAAAAUUAUGGGAAAAUAGUCCAAGAUAUUGUGAAAUAAAAUUAAAGAAUCCUAAUAAAAUAAUUAGAAUCAAACCUAUGAUCUAUACUAAACAAGAUAUAGAUGAAUUUGAUAUACAAAUCAAAGAAUUAUUGGAAAAAGGAUUAAUAGAAAAAACUAAUAGUCCACACUCAAGUCCAGCUUUUAUGGUAAGAAACCAUGCUGAAAUAAAAAGAGGAAAAACUAGAAUGGUAAUUAAUUAUAAAAGACUAAACCAAAAUACUAUUUUUGAUGGAUACUUUAUUCCACGGAAAGAUGUUUUAAUAAAUCAAGCUAAACAAGCAAAAUAUUUCAGUAAAUUUGAUUGUAAAUCAGGAUUUUGGCAAAUAAUGCUAACUGAUGAAUCUAAACCAUUAACAGCCUUUAGUGCACCUAAUGGUCAUUAUCAAUGGAGAGUAAUGCCAUUUGGAUAAUGUAAUGCACCUCAAAUCUUCCAAAGAUGGAUGGAUUCUAUAUUUAAUAAAUAUAAAAAUUUUUGUGUAGUUUAUAUAGACGAUAUAUUAAUAUUUUGAGAAACACUGGAAAAACAUAGAAAACAUUUAAAUAUCAUCUCCCAAGAAUUCAUAAAACAUGGAAUUAUUUUGAGCCCUAAGAAAAUAGAAUUAGAAAAAACAAAAAUAGAAUUUUUAGGUUUAAAUUUAUCGGCUGAUGGUCUUAAACUACAAGAUCAUAUUAUAGUAAAAAUAAAAGAAUUUCCAGAAGAAAUUAAAAACCAAAAACAACUUCAACAAUUUUUAGGUAUAAUUAAUUAUGGAAGAAACUUCUUUCCUAACUUAUCUGAAAAAAUAGGAGACUUAUAUAAAAUAUUAAAAAAGGAUAAAACUUUUAGCUAGUCUAAAGAAGACUCAGAAAUUAUUAAAAAUAUAAAAUCAGAAAUAAAUUAUACCCCAAAAGUCUAUUUACCAAAACAAGGUGAUAGAUUAAUUUUAGAAACCGAUGCAUCAGAAAAAUAUUGGGGAUGUAUUUUAAAAGCUAAAACAGCAAAAACGAAGAACUAAUAUGUGGAUAUAGUUCUGAAACACUUAAAUCAAAUGAAGUUAAUUAUGCUAUAUAUGAAAAAGAAUUAUUAGCUAUUAAAAAGGCAAUAAAAACCUUUCUCAUAUAUUUAGCAUCUGAAAAUUUUAUUAUAAAAACUGACAACCAGGCAGUCAAACAAUUUCUGACUAAUAAUAGUCUAGAAAGUGUACCAAGAAGAAUUAGAUGGUAUAAUGAUUUAUGUAGUUUCAAUUUUGAAGUUUUAUAUGUCAAAUGUACUAAUAAUAUUAUUGCUGAUUAUCUUAGCAGGCCUUAUGGAUAGAGGUAAAAAAACCUCUAGAACAAGUCGAGGAAUGGACUACUGUCCAUAAAAAACCCAACAAAGGAAAGCAGAUAAAUCCUAAUCAAGGAUUUACUCCCAAUCAGGGAUUUACUCCUAUAUUAACAGGAUUCUAUCCUAAUCAAGGAUAUUAUGUUCAUUAUCCAAUGGUAAGACAACCAACUGGAUCUCCUUCAUCAUAUGCAUCAAGAAUGGUAAACGAAUACCCUUCAAAAAGAAUAAUUCAAUCUCCUUAGUCUCAAGAUCCGAAUUCAGCAUAUCAAGCCAGUUAUUCUGAAGUUAUAAAAGGAGCAGAAAAUUUGUUGAAACAACAACAAAUUCCAGAAAUAAAAGAUUUCUAUAAUCCAGGAUUACCAAAUGAAAUUUAUAAAUAUAUUAAUGAAAUAUGGAAAACCCAUAUUUUAGAACAAAGAGCAAACUUUAGACGAACCCUUACAAAGUUUUCACAAUUUCUAGUUGAAAAACAACUAAAGAAAAUGAAGCACAUGAAUUAUUAUUAAAAGCUGUUUUAUACAGAGAUUGGCAAGAACUCGAAAUAGAGUAUACAAAUAUCAAUGAGAUAAAUAAUCUUAUUGAUAUAUUUCAAUACUUUAUUCAUAAAGGAACAAAUAGUCCCAUUAUGAAUAAAAUGUUUAGAAUAUGUUUAUAUAAUAAAGCUAGGAAAAUGCUAACAGCAGAAAUUUUUGAAAAAAUCAAUAAAAUUAUCUGCAACCAGCAGACUCAAUAUAAAAAAGUCUUUUCUGAAUACUUUUUACAAUCAUAUGUUUAUCUAAAUGAUAUAGGGGAAGAAAUUCCUACUAUAAAAUUCAGAUUAGAUCAUGAACCAUUUGAUAUAAACAGUAUUGAAUGGGGUUUCGUUAAGGAAAUUGUAGUACAAAACUUUUCUUUUCACUUAUUAAAAGAUUUUCCUGCUAUUAUAAAAGCUAUAUUAUCACUUUUAGUAUAUCAAGAUGAUUUUUAUUACUAUUUUUAUAUCCAAAUAAGUAGUCUUAUUGGAAUUGCUGAAAAAGAGCGAUUCUAUCAACCAUAUCAAAUAUGGAUUAUUCAACGAAUGUUUGAUAGUCCUUAUUUCUCAGCAGCCAAAGAAGAUAAAAAACACUUGACCAAAACCAUUGACAAGUGUUACAAUAAUCCAAAAUAUUUUCAAAUCCAAGCCGGAAUUGAUUUAAUGUCAACAGCACGACAUGUACUUCAAGAUCAAACGUACAAACUAUCUACCGAUGGAAAAAGAAUAGUAGCUGAUAAAAAUAGCAUAAUUCAAAAAUCAAGAGAUGAAGAAUCCAUACAACUGCUAAAGAAAAUAGCAGAUAUGGAAAUAGACGAUUUCCCUUCAGAAAUAAUUGAAGAAAUCAGGAACACGUGGGAGACUUGGAAUUCACCAAGACUAUCACCAGAAUCUUUACACCUGGAUGAAAUAGAAACAUGGAACCUGGACAACAUCCAAGAAGGAUAAAGACAAAGACCACGUGGAAAGUCAAGAAGACUUUCAAGCUGAUUUUCAAGAUUGGCGGUAAACAAAAAUUCAAGGCAUCCAUGUACAAACAAGAUAUGAAAAAGACAACUGACAACAUACGUGGAGGCAACAAUAAAUUCAUCCUUAUCAGAAACACUGUGCGGGAUUGAAGAAAAAUUAAAUAGAGUUUAGAAAUUUUACUAUAAAUAGCAAUGUAAAGAGCCUAAACGAGGCAUCGAAAAAUGGUUUAGAAAUCUUUCUUUUUUACUUUAAGUAUCCUCUCUAUAAACAACCUUUCCUUGUAAAAAAAAUCUUUCCUUUACUUUUAAUAAAAUAUAGAUCUUCCGCAACCUAUUUAGCAAGUAAUUGCUAAAUAUUCUUAAGACGUUGGAAAGAAUCAGAAGUAGGAAAAGUUCAAAAAGGACAACUAAUUAAUGAAAUAGGUACUCCUAAAGAUCUUUUAAAAGGAUUAACAAAUAUUUUAAAAACAGAAUUUUGUGGUUAUUUUGAUAAAAAAGAUCAAGAUAGUAUAGCUAGUUAUACCUUAUCAAAAAUUAAAUUAUGUGAUAUUAGAUAUCUAGAAGAAUUUUCUAAAAAAUUUCUUCAUGAAUAUCAAAAAUUAAAAAAUGAAAAUAUAGAAUUUUGGAAAAACCAAUAUUUUCAUAAACUACCCCCACCAUGGGAUGAGAUAUGUAUAAAAAAAUAUGUGUCUUAUUUAGAUAAACAUAGUAAAGAAUCAGGGAUAGCAAAAGAAAAUAUAGAUUCUAUAGGAAAUAGAAUUAAUUUUGCAAGAGAAAGAAUAACUCUACAUUGUCUACAAACUAAAGCGGCUAAACAAGUAAAAAAUAAAUUAACUUAUAGUCAUUGUACAAAAAUUCUAGAAAAUGAAUGGGAAUUUGGAUGUAAAACAACACGUCCUAAUACAUAUAAAAAACAUAGAAAGAAAAAUAGAAAAUAUAAAUUUAUUGAUGGAAACCAGGAAAUAAAAAAUAUACUGGUAAUAAUAAGAAAAAGAAAAAAUUUGUUAGAAGAAAAACUUCUAAAAAAUCUAAAAAACAGAUAUGUAAAUGUUUUAUUUGUGAUGAAGAAGGCCAUAUAGCACCAAACUGUCCUAAUAAAGGAAAAAGUGCUAAAAAGAUGAUUAAAAGUCUUGAAGAACAAGAUUUAGAAAUUUGUUAUGAAGAGGAAAUAAAUCCUGAAGAAAUAUUAUAUGAGUUAAUAUCAGAAACAGAUUCUGAUUUAGAUGAAGAAGAAUAUAUAUUUAUGUUUAAUGUAGGAAGUAGUUCUAAAAAUCAAUUAGAAGAAAUUCCUAAGUUUGAACAACAAGACAUAAAAUUAGGAAAUUUGAUUGGAGAAGAAAAAGACUUUUCUGAUGAAAUGAUAGAAAAAAUAAAUCACAUUUCUAAAGAAGAAAUAUAUAAAAUAUCUAAGUAUAAAAUAUGGAGUCAAAGACAUAUAGAAAAAAUUAGUGGCAACACAGUUGCUAAGGAUACUAGAGGAGGAUUAACAGAAAUUCCAUUAUUUACUAAAGAAAAAAAUUAAGAGGAUUAAAAAGAAAUACCCUCAAGUUAGAUAUAUACAUUUAGGUAUAAUUAUGAUAACAAUUAGAGCUUUAUUUAGAAAAGGACAUGAUAUACCCAUAAUAGCGGUUUUAUUAGAUAAAAGAUUUGAAAACCCGAUAAAAGCACUUAUUGGUGGUAUUCAGUCUAAUUUACACACUGGAGUAAUAGGAUUUAAAGUUAAACCAAACUAUUUUAUAUCUAUUACAGAUCCCCUAAUAGAAGAAUUCUUAUGUUUAAGAAUUCAGACAAAAAAUUCUGAAAUUAGCGAUUUAGCAGAAGAUUUAGCAAUAAGUUGGACUUCUAUUAAUGAAUAUACCAACACGGCAGAAGUAGAAAUUAAAGAAAUCAAUAAUAAAAUAAUUGAGUUAUUUGAACCCAAUAAAUUUACUACAGAAAUACAACCAAAAUUAUUACAUUUAAAAGAUCUGUCAAUUCCAAAAGAUUGGAUGAUUGAUAGAAUAAGUAGUGCUAGUACUUCAAAACCGGUAAGUACUAUAGAAUAUAUGUCAUCAGGAGAUAGACUAUAUUUUAAAAAUAAUGCUAUAACAAAUACAAAUGAUAAUUUAAUUUUACCUUCUAAUUCUCAAAUAGAAGAAGAAGAAGAUAAUAUUAGUACAAAUUCAACAACACCGAUAGGUAUGAAAACAGUUCAAAUACCUAUUUUCCCUACUGAACCUAGCAGAAAUUCUAGAAAUACUAGAAUGGAAGAAAUACAAUCUACUACUAUUAUUCAACAAAUGAAAAUAGGAAAAAAUGAUAUUAUUACAUUUUCAA